AAAUCAUAUGACUCAUUAAUUAAUGGUGAAUAUGAUAACAUAAGGGAAAAAAAUGAUAUUACCUUAUUAUUAGUGUUGUCCAAAACUGGUGCCAGAAGACUCGGUAAGACCAGAGACGCAAACGUUAGUCAUCUUAAUCAGGCGUAAAGGGUUUGUAGGCUGCUUUUAAAGUUUAAAUCUUUGUAAUAGCUCUUUUACCGUACUGCUACAAGAUAAAAAAUUGAAAUAAUAAUAAUAAUAAAAGUUAAAUCACAAAUUUGAAUUGUAGUAUAUAAAAUUUAAUAAAAACAAAAAUUAAAUGAUAUAAACAAAUAUCCGUGUAUCAGUAAAGAAAUAAAUGAAUAAAAGCUAGGAUCAAAUUGAGGAUAAACCAAAUAAUACUUAGAGUAGGGCUUAUAUCCGUAGAUACUAAGGGGAAUACUAAAGGUGAAAACUUUUUAUCUACUAUUGAUUGACGCUGAGAAACGAAGGUGAGAACAGGAAAUAGGAUUAGAUACCCAGAUACCUCUCACUGUCAACGAUGAAUGGUGGUUUGUUAGUUUUAAUAAAAACUGGUAGCGAUGUUAACACGAUAACCAUUCCGCCUUGCGAGUACGGUUGCAAAACUGAAACCAAAAAAAUUAGUCGGUUUCGAAGCAAACGAAGUGAGCAUGUUAUUUAAUACGAGAGUACUUGCAUAUCCAAUUUGUUCUUAGUUAAUUCUAAGUCUCUUUUUAAUAAGAAAACAGAUUGAGUAAUUUUUAUUUAUUUUAAAAAUUCGUUUACA
rnacentral:rRNA from 1 species